CCCAUCCUGCUAAUUUUCAUUAGGAAAAAGUGUCAUCCACAAUGAUUUAGUGAAUCAUUCCAGAAUAUUUAAUGAAAAUAUUCUAGAUACUACAUAGUUGUAAACAUCAUUUUGUUUUCUCUUUUAGUGUCAAACCCCCAUCAUUUAAUGGGAAGGGAAAAAUCCGACCUGGGCUCCCAAAACUCUGCUGUCUGCAUUGGUCAACUGUAUUACCUGUUCCCCUUCAAGUCCCAGCUAAUGAUGGUACCUACCACUUUCCCCACCUAUCCUUAUGAUGAAGACGACUGAGGCAAAGAAACCAAUAAGAGAUUAAGAGAUGGGAUUAUUAAUAGAUUUGAAAGAUUUUUGAAGGAUAACAAACUACCUGCAAUUACCAACAGAUUAUGGCCCAGAGUAUCAGAAUAAUGAAAGCUGAUGUCACAGUUAGAAUUCUUAUACUCUUUAAGUUAUUGUUGUUCCCUCCCACCUCACAGUUAAAAGGGAAGAAUGAUGAUUUCAUGGUAAGUCAAUCUCCUCUUUAUGACUAUUAACUAUUAAGCAUACAAUGGCAACACCAGUUUAAGAUUGCAUCUGAUUCGGAUUACACCACUAGCUUUUAUUUAUUGCUUGAACUAUUCUUAAGACUCAAAAAACACCAGAAGUAGAAUCAACACUUUCUACCUGACUAUAUUUAUUGCCGCCUGGCCUUUCAACAACUCUAGG
rnacentral:lncRNA from 1 species